GCGGGAGGGAGAGCCAGAGAAGGAGCAGGAGGAGGGGCCACAGGAGACGCAGUUUGUGGACACUGGAGGGCUCACUCGGGAGCUGGGAGACCUGUUCUCCAAAUUGAAGGCUGAUCUGAGAGCAGCAGCUGAACAGAGGAGGGGCUUUCAGGAGGCCGUCGGGCAGCUGCAGGAGGUGCUGAGGGAGGUGGUGAGCAGCACUGUGGCCACAGAGGAGGAGAUCCAGAGGAGGCUAUGCACCCACGAGGAGCCCAGGGGGAGCUGUGGAGAGGAGGCGAGGGCGGUGCUUCCGGACCCCGCCCCGUGGUCGGUUCUGACGGACGGUGGUCUGAGCCGGUCUCAGAGGCUCUCAGAGGGCCUGUUCUCCGGGCCGAGGCAGGAGGGG